rnacentral:lncRNA from 1 species
GGGGGGCGGGUGGAGGCUGGUCCGGAGUAUCCCGGGAACCUCGGAGUCCCUACAAUCUUCUAAAGCGAAGGACCGGACACCCUCGGAACCGAUCACAGCCCGGGAAAGGCUGGAGAGCUGGAGGCCCAAGGGCCCGCGAAGGGAGAAGGGAGAGGAGGGGGCAAACAAAGGAGGAAACAACCGAACCUCGAGCGAUGUGCGAGAAGAACGGCCGCGACCGAGGGUGCUCCGGGGCGCGGAGAGAGGCGGAGGGCGCCGGCGGGAGAGCGAGAGUCCGGGGUCUGCUAGUCGCUGCUGGUGAAUAAAAAGGAGAGAGGAGGCGCCUCUUACUGCUCUGCCGGAAAACUGCAGCCUGCGCUCCUGAUUGGACUCACCGAGCCCUAAACAAACAGCGCUAGCCGAAGGGUGCCAGGCUGUGGGUCGGAACUGCUCUCUACAAGCUGCUGGGUGCGGAGGGAUUUCUUUCGACAAGCUGGACAUUGGAAGAAGGCUGCGAGAAGGGAAUUGAACAUGAGAAACACUCUUGUGGGAGUGGAUUCUUACAGGAACACCCCAGUCACUGUGGCUUCAGCGUGGCUGCAUUUAUGAAAGGCUGGAAGUAGAAAACUCUGGAAUGGAGAGACUAGCAGCUGGAACAGGAUUCAAAGGCUUUAAAUUUUAACCCGAGUUCGAUCGAAAGUUACUACCACAAGAGACUGGCACGGGCCGGCCCAAUUCCCACCACGGCUUCCAGCGGCUUGCUUUGGGUUGUCCGGUAAGUUCCAACCAAAUUUUUAAGCGGGUUGGGUUCUGCGAAGUUCAUUUGUAAGCAAUUCAUUAAAGCUUCGGACAUCGCUUUUUCAUUUGAGUCCAAUUUUCCGAAAUAAUGUCUCCAGUUUGCUCUUAAAAGCAAUUUUUACAGUUCGUAUUUGCUAAUAAAAUAAUAAAUGACUUGGCUAACUAAA